rnacentral:rRNA from 1 species
AGCGAACGCUGGCGGCAGGCCUAACACAUGCAAGUCGAACGGAUCCUUCGGGAUUAGUGGCGGACGGGUGAGUAACACGUGGGAACGUGCCCUUUGGUUCGGAACAACUCAGGGAAACUUGAGCUAAUACCGGAUGUGCCCUUCGGGGGAAAGAUUUAUCGCCAUUGGAGCGGCCCGCGUCUGAUUAGCUAGUUGGUGAGGUAACGGCCCACCAAGGCGACGAUCAGUAGCUGGUCUGAGAGGAUGAUCAGCCACACUGGGACUGAGACACGGCCCAGACUCCUACGGGAGGCAACAGUGGGGAAUCUUGCGCAAUGGGCGAAAGCCUGACGCAGCCAUGCCGCGUGAAUGAUGAAGGUCUUAGGAUUGUAAAAUUCUUUCAGCGGGGACGAUAAUGACGGUACCCGCAGAAGAAGCUCCGGCUAACUUCGUG